ACGGGCAUUCGGUGGAUGCCUUGGCACCUUGAGCUGAUGAAGGACGUAGCGGCCUGCGAUAAUCCUCGGGGAGUUGGCGAGCGAGCUUUGAUCCGGGGGUUUCCGAAUGGGGGAACCUAGCCAGGUUUGUUUCUGGUUACCAUCACUUGAAUAUAU
rnacentral:rRNA from 2 species